AUUGAACGCUGGCGGCAGGCCUAACACAUGCAAGUCGAGCGAGCGGCGGACGGGUGAGUAAUGUCUGGGAAACUGCAUGAUGGAGGCGGAUAACUACUGGAAACGGUAGCUAAUACCGCAUACCAUCAGAUGUGCCCAGAUGGGAUUAGCUAGUAGGUGGGGUAAUGGCUCACCUGGGCGACGAUCCCUAGCUGGUCUGAGAGGAUGACCAGCGACACUGGAACUGUGACACGGUCCAGACGCCUACGGGAGGCAGCAGUGGGGAAUAUUGCACAAUGGGCGCAAGCCUGAUGCAGCCGUGCCGCGUGUAUGAAGAAGGCCUUCGGGUUGUAAAGUACUUGCAGCGAGGAGGCGUUACUCGCAGAAGAAGCACCGGCUAACUCCGUGCCAGCAGCCGCGGUAAUAC
rnacentral:rRNA from 1 species